ACAUCCAGAGAACUUAGCAGAGAUUGCUUUUGGGUGCCUUUCGGGAACUCUGAGACAGGUGCUGCAUGGCUGUCGUCAGCUCGUGUUGUGAAAUGUUGGGUUAAGUCCCGNAACGAGCGCAACCCUUAUCCUUUGUUGCCAGCGAUUCGGUCGGGAACUCAAAGGAGACUGCCGGUGAUAAACCGGAGGAAGGUGGGGAUGACGUCAAGUCAUCAUGGCCCUUACGGCCAGGGCUACACACGUGCUACAAUGGCGCAUACAAAGAGAAGCGACCUCGCGAGAGCAAGCGGACCUCAUAAAGUGCGUCGUAGUCCGGAUUGGAGUCUGCAACUCGACUCCAUGAAGUCGGAAUCGCUAGUAAUCGUAGAUCAGAAUGCUACGGUGAAUACGUUCCCGGGCCUUGUACACACCGCCCGUCACACCAUGGGAGUGGGUUGCAAAAGAAGUAGGUAGCUUAACCUUCGGGAGGGCGCUUACCACUUUGUGAUUCAUGACUGGGGUGAAGUCGUAACAAGGUAGGCGUAGACGU
rnacentral:rRNA from 1 species